CAGUGUGUCAACCAGGGCUGGGAGCUCAUCUGAAGGCUCAACAGGAGAUGUAUCUACCACAGGCCUUUUCUCAGGAUAUUGUUGACACAAUUUAGCUCCUUGAGGGUGCUGGACUGAGGGCCUCACUUCCUAGAUGACUGUUGGCCAGGGGCCAUCGGCAAUUCUUUGCCACAUGAGCCUCUCCAGUAUUGCAACUUGCUUCAUCAAAGUGUGCAAGGCAAGAAGACAAAAAAGAGAGCUGCAAGAAAGAUGGAAACCAAGAUCUCAUGUAACCUAAUGACAGAGGACGAAGUCUUGCUCUGUUGACCAGGCUGGAUGGAGUGCAGUGGUGCGAUCACAACUCACUGCAACCUUGACCUCCUGGGCCCAAGCAACCCUCCUGCUUCAGCCUACCAAAGUGUUGGGAUUACAGGAAUGAGCUACCAUGCCCAGCCAAAAGCCCAGGGUUUUGUUGGAUGGUAGUACAAGGAGAUGCUUUCUCACUGCACCCCCACCUCCCAUCUUUGAGGAUAAAC
rnacentral:lncRNA from 1 species